rnacentral:lncRNA from 1 species
UCUGAUUAUUUAAAUGAAAUUUUUACGUUGGGAAAACGGGGUGUUACAGUCUUGACUGACUUUUAUCUAAUGAUAUUGAAAGAUAUAUCAAUUUAGAAUGGACAAAGUCGCUGUAACCUUAUUGAAAGAACUAUUAACUCAUAGGAAAGCUGCCGCCGCUGUAACCUUGUGAAUAUGGAGCGAUUCUCGUUUUUCUGAAACCUGCUUCAGUAAAACAUCGAUUUCUCAGUCGUUAACCGUCGGAUCGGGCUGAUUUUUGGACAUCAGGUUCGCAACACCUGGGUCUACGUUUUCACCGUUCGGAUCGUCGAAACAAGGUCUGAGUCAAGAGAAAACUGUCUCGCACUGAAGCAGUAUAUUUGGGGUUCCGGCAAUCAACACCCAGUGCAAUUGAGUUUCGGCGUUUGGGCUUUUCACGGCAUAGGAUUUUCACGACACAGUGCAGGUAUUCUUGUUUUCCAUAUUUGCAUUGUGUUUCCUCUGCUGUGUUUCGGUUUCUCUCUGCUGUGUUACUGGUAUUCUCAAUUUCACGAUUGUACAGCUAUCGCCAUACCGCUACUUGUUCCUCGUAGUUCACUGACACUGAUUCUUCAAUUUGAGAUCGCGCAGCCGCGCUAAUGCUCUGUUGCGUUACAAAGGCUGACCCACGCGUGUCCCAUAAUUAGAAUUGGUUUUGGUGCAUUGCAGCUUGGCCAUUGAUGGCAUACACGUGCUCCUGGCCGUGUGUGUCCGACACCGUAACUGUACCUACAGUCACUACAAUUAUGCAACAACCAUCUUCUUCAGCAAAUGUGCAGCAGAAUAUGACAUUUGCAGCAGCCCUAGCGGGACAGAAAGUUGUUGACGACAGUCCGUUCCCUACUCCAUGUAUCAAGGGUGAUGCUUUGAGCAUUAAAAUAUGUCAGGAAGAGUAUCAUAGGGGACUAGAGGAUUGCAAGAAUGUGUUGAGGGCACGUUUGACCCUUAACAAAGGAGACAAACCAUAUUUUGCACGUGAUCUAAGCAACAAAAUUGGCAAGGUAUGGAAAACAUCGGCAGGAUGGAAAAUGGUGCCUCUAGGCAAAGGCUAUUAUGACUUUCACUUUGACUCGGCAGAUGACCUUAGAAAAAUAUGGGCAGCAGGCACGGUGAACCUCAAGCCAGGUUUGUUAAGGUUUUCACAAUGGACCAAAGACUUCAAAUAUCUUGCUCAGAAACAGACUCAUGUUUCACUUUGGAUUCGAUUGGUGGAGUUACCGCAGGAAUAUUGGCGGGAGAGAAUUUUGAAGGAAAUAGCAAGAGCGGUAGGUACACCGAUUGACAUUGAUGGACCGACGCGAAAUCGUACCUUUGGACAUUAUGCAAGAAUUUUAGUGGACAUUGAUCUUUCAAAAAGAACUUUUGAUGAAAUUCUUGUUGAGAGAGAUGACUUUGCUUUCAAAGUUGAGGUCCAAUAUGAACGGAGACCGUUGUUUUGUCAUCACUGCUUCGCUAUUGGGCACGAUGUCUCUACUUGUCGUUGGUUACAUCCGCAAGCACCUAAGGACAAGAUUGAUCGAGGGAAACAGAUUGUUGUAGCCGAGGUAGCACCCCCUAAGCCUACUCGGCAGAACAACAACAACAAGGAUGUGGGUGCUUCAACGUCGGCCUUUGGUAGCACUUGGACACGGGUUCCGGUUCCGGUUGCUUCGACUGUUACUACCACUCAGAGGGUUCCGGUCUCUGAUAUUUCUACACCUACACCUACAUCAUUGGCACCAGCUUCACUAGCCAUUCCGGCUUCAUUUCCUGCCCCUACUUUAACCUUUAAUUCACAGAUGGGGCCGGUUGUUACUUCUACAGUGGCUAGUUCUCAGAUGGACAUGUCUUUGUCGUCCAAUUCUUUCAGCUUUCCAUUACACAAUGUGUUUGAUAAAAUUUCUCCUGGAGAGUUGCCACAUACUAUGUCAGUGUUAGAAGUUGUUUCCUAUGUUGCGCAUGUUGAUGUGCAUUCUGAGACAGUAGAGAAGUUACAUAUGACAUCUAGGGAGGUGUUGGAGAACCCCACGAUGGAUGAUGUCUCUGGUUUGCUUUCAGAUGAGGUGGAUCACAAUCGUUCGAGCCCGAGGGAGCUGGAAGAGAGUCCCAAAGGUUCUCACGAGAGUGAGCACAAUCUUUCGAGCCUGAGGGAGCUGGAGGAGAGUCCCAAAGUUCCCAUUGAGAGUGCACCACAUUCAUCACAUGUUGUUGAGCAUCAAGAGGUGCAUGAAGGGUCUAUAGAAUCGGUGCAGGUUCAGACGGAUACUGUUGUUGAGCACGAUGACGUGUAUGCUGGAUCACAUGCCUUGAAAUCACAUGUGGUUGUCGAACCACCCAGUGUUGUUAGUGGAAGUAUGCCCACGGAAAAGGAACAAGAUGUGGUUAUUUUGCAAAAGCAAGAGGUUCAUCCUAGCAAGAAUAUCCAGCAUGGUUUAGAUUUGUGGGCAAGAGUCCGAGAAUAUGAUGAAAGAUCAGCAGCUGAAGACUUCAUGCAUGUUCUAACAAGAAAACAGAAACAAAAACUCAAGGUACAACAAGUCUUAGCAAAGCAGCCUAAUAAAUCCCGUACCCGGGGUGACAAUCAUUCGAGUGAUCAAUGAAUUUCCUGUAUUGGAAUGUUAGAGAUUUUGCUUUCGUUGGCAUAAUGCUUGGCUACUUGGAAUUCAGGUAAUUUCCUCUCAUAUUUUUCGUGAAGGAAACAGUUGCGCAGAUAAGUUGGCAUAUUUGGGUCAUGACAUAGCUGGUGUCGUUUGGUUAGACACUCUUCCUACGAGUGCGAGUCUUGAAUUCUUUAGGGAUAGAUGUGGACUUCCGAAUUAUAGAUGCUCUUGAUUUGUUUUUGGAGGUCUAUUGUUUCUGUUAUUUUCUCUGUUUUCUUUUUGCUGUUUUAUUUUGAGGGUUUUGGCCUAGUCCCCCCUCUUUUUGUAAUUAUUUUUCCCCCUUUUUUAAUAAAUUAUUUCGAGUGUGGCAGCAGAGGAUGGAGGUGUCUCGAGGUGCCAACCUAGUUGGGAUGUCGAUGAUGCCGCUUGAUGUUUGUCCACUCUCCUUGCUUAUAAAAAAAAAAAUGGACAAAGUCGAAAAGACAAUUUAGAUUGUCGUUACUAGCUUAUUUUUGUAUUUAAAAGACAAUUUGGUGAAUCAUUAUUUGAAUGAAUUUUUGUUUUAAUUUCUCUUUGAAUAAAUGAAGAUGUUUUGAGUUUUAUUUACAAAUGAUGAUUCAAUGUGUCUUUUAAAUUCAAUUAUUAGAGUCAAUUCAGUUAUGACUUGUGACAUUCUAUAUUGUUUAAGGUUUUGAAUACUAUAAGUUUUUCAUCCCACAAAUUAAGAAAUUUUUUGAGACAUAAAUUGUUAAGCUUUCUUGAGGAUAUUGAGUUUGGAGGAGAGAUAUGGUAAUAGAACAAAAUUGAAUGAGGAAGAAUUUAGUUCUAAACUAAUUCAUAUAGUUACUAUUAUAGUAUUUUUGGAUCCUCAUGAGGACAUUAUUGUUCUUCCUCUCAAUCAAGUUAAAUUAAUUCAUAUAGUUCAAACUCAACACCCUCAAGAACUAGGGCUUCUAGUGUCAUAAAGAAUUGACUUGAAAGAGAAAUUAUAUUUAGUGUAAUUGAAAGACUCUAUUAGGACAGUCAUAACACUAGUUUACUUGUUAUAGUUUUGAAGCUACAUAAGAUGGAUGUCAAUGCAUUGUUUCUCAAUGGUGACAUUAAUGAUUCAAUAUGGUGCAACUUAAGAAAACUCUUGUGUCAAUAGAUACAAAGUAGAUGUUUUGCAAAAUCAUGAAAUCCACUUAUGAGUUAAGAAAUUUGUCUCUUUAUUGUUACUACAUAUUCUCAUAAAGUAAUUAUCUCAUUUGAUUUUGAGAAAUUUAGCAAAUUAUGUGGGAGAAAGUUUAUAUUCAUAGUUUAAUAUGUCAAUUUUAUUUUAUUUAGUCAACCAUGAUAUAUGUUUGUUAUGUGAAACCAAGGAAAUCUCUAACGAAAGUUAGUGAUGAAAGAUCUUGGGGACACCUCUUUUGUAUUAUGCAUUUAAUACUUAGAGAUUCUUCUCAAGGUAUUAUUCAGACAUCACAAAAGAGUUAUAUCAAUAAAGUUCAAAAUAAAAUGACACAAUUUUUGGAUGACCUCAAUCAUCGAGUGAGACUUUCUAGUCUCAAAUAUUGUCCAUUAGAAAAUUAAUGAAUUCAGAUAUUUAAGUAUUUUCCUACACUUUUCCUAUGGGAUUUUUAUGUAUGAUUUUAUUAUACGCAUUUGGAAAUAGCGUAUUAAUAAGAUUGUUUGGCAGAUAUUUGAGUAAUUCAAAGUUUGAAUUGUUGAAAAAGCAACCAUAAGGAUUAUUAAAGAGAACAAGAGAGCUUAUGCUCACAUCAGAGAUCUGACAAUUUGGAGAUCAUUUGUGUGUCACUCUGUCUUUUGGAUGUAAGUAGAUAAUACACAUUCUAACUCAUGAAAUGGCUGUAAGUAUUUAUGUCACUUGGUUGCAUAUUGUUAAAGGUACUGAAAGACCACUCAAGUUAUAUAGUGACAUAAUUCAGUCUUAUAGUUAUUCAACAACCUUUAUAAAGUUUAUUGCCUUAUAGAUUAUUGUUGUUGAAUGAUAGAACAUGUAGAGACAAACUUUAUGAUAGCUAUACCACUAAUCGAAGACAUGACACCUAAGGUCUUUCAUAUGGUUGUUGUCAUUAAGGAUUUCGGGGAUUAGUGGGAGUCUCUUUUAUUUAAUGUUCUAUACUUUUGUUUUGAUAUCGAUACAGACUAUAUGUUAUGAUUUUCUGCAGAAAUAAAGUUUAUGAGGUUAUUUUUGUUAUAACCAUUUCUGUAUCAUUUUGUGCAAAUAUUGAAUUUGCAAACUUCAUUUUGAUCUCACUAAAGUUUUCAGUUGGAUCAGUUGGAAAUAGACAUGAUUUAGAUAUCACAUUGCAUGUAAUUUCCAUGUCACUCAUCCAUAUCGAUCUAUGUCAUCAAGUGCAUUGAUAUGGUGCCGUCGGGGUUCCGUCACGUUAUAUGUAACGCCCUAAUCGUUGUGUUAUUUAUUUUUUAUUUAUGUGGAGUCUAAUAUAUGAUUUUUGGUGAUUUAUGUGGUGUGUUUAUUUUAUAAUAUAGUUUAUUUUAAUAAUAAUUAGAAUAAGUGAGAAAUAAUAAUUAUUUUGGAGUUUGGGGAGUUACUUAAUAUUUAAUAGAAUUAAAGGGAGUUAAAUGAAAUGAAGGGAGUUAAGUAAGUAGGAAGUUAGGAAAAUAGAAGUUAGAAAACAUUGUACGUGAAAACCAACUUUUGGGAGAAAUGGGAGAGAAGAGCAAGUUAGGCCAAGAACUGAUUUUUGCUGUGCAUUUUCAGCAAUUUCUAAGGUAAGGGUGAGAUUUACUUCAGUAGUAUAGAUGCUAAUUCUGAUUUUGAAGUUUGACAGGUUUUAUGUUGGAAUUGGGAAUUUAUGUUCUUGGUGAAUUAUUGGGUUUUGAGUGUGAGGAUUGUUGUCCUGAGGUUAGAAAUAGGUUCUGAAUGCAUAUAGCAAGUUAAUUCACAUCUGUAAACUAAUUUGGGGAGUGAUUUGAAGAAAAAUGGGAUUUUGGGGAAAAACCUGUUUUCUGCCCGUACAGAAGUUCAUCGCUCGCCUCGCGAAUGGCCUUUCUCGCCAUGGCAAGUGAGCAACUUCAUAGCUCGCCUCGCGAGCAGACCAACUCGCUGUGGCGAGUAACCCAGAUCAAAACUGGAUUUUUUAAAUUGUUGUUAUAAGAUGUUUAGGGGAUAGUUUAAUGUACCUAAAUGAUUUUAAUGAUGACUUGAGCAAGUUUUAGGUUAAAAAGAUGAAUAGGGAGCUUAGAAUUGAAGUUUGAGUGAGAAAAAUAUCAAAACUACCGAGAGCACCUACUUUUCACUCGCCUCGAGUUCGCCUUGAACUCGCCAUGGCGAGAAAACAGUUUUGUGAACUCGCCAUAGCGAGCAGAUGUGCUCGCGAGGCGAGCUACCCAGUUUUUUAGUGCUGAAUUACGUACAUGAAUGGUAGUGCUUGGUGUUGUUGUUUGAGCAUAGUUAUAUUUAAUUAUGCAUUAUUCUAGAUUGCUGGAUUACUGAUUAUUGAUGUUGUUGAUGGCUGAGAAGUAUGAUUUAUUUAUUGAACCAUACAUGUUGUAUAAUUUGGAGUCAUAUGGAGAAUGUAUGCAUGGUCUAGUUGUAUGUAGAUAUACACGAGUAGGUCCAUUGCAUAUGCAUAAACAGCGGAGAGGACUCAUGUCCUGGAGCACUAGUUGUUCACAGCGGUGAGGGCUUCGGUCCUGAUGAAUGCUUUAAUCAUUCAAAAGCGGUGAGGGCUUCGGUCCUGUUUGGUACCACAUGCAUAAUUGCAUUUAUUGAGGGGUCUUAGUGGUGUCGUCAUGUCAUGCAUGAGUCUUUAUUGUUGGCUGUGGUUGUUAUAUUGAUGAUGAUGAUGAUGUUGUUUGAUGAGUAUACAUUUAUACAUAUAUUAUGAUGGAUUGAUUUGAUGGUGAUACAGUUGUUGCUUGUAAAUUAUGUAAUUACAGUUGCAAGAUGAUUUGAUGUUUUAGGGUGUUAGAUUCAAUUGAAGAUUUUAAUAUCUAUAUUUUAUUGUUGUGAAUCUCACCCCUUCUGCUUGAAAAUGUUGCUCUUCCUAUGGGUAACUUGCAGGUGAUCCUGAGUAGUCGGUGGUGGCUCAAGUGUCGUGUCUAAGGCUCUGAUACGUGGGAUGGGAAAUAUUCUUGUUAUUGUUUUCUUUCCUAUGUAUCUUAUUUUAGAACUUGAUGUUGUGGCCCUAUGAUGGAUGAAUUAUGUUGUUAAGGCUUUAUGCCAAGAUAUUGUUUUGGAGAAUUUAACCGUUGUUGUUGUUGCUAUUUAAAAUGCAAAUAUUCCGUUGCAUAAUUUUUGAAGUUAUGA